UCAGCGGUCAUGGAGAGUCUCCAUCCAGCUGGAUCACUGUCACAGGUAAACCUACAACCACAGUGAUGCCCUUCACCUCAGGCCCAACCCCAUCCCCUGAUCUUCCCUCCCUCCAAAUUGCGUUCAGAGUGGUCCUCCACCUGGUUGUCUUCUGUCCUUACUUCAUAUGCACUCUCCUCGUGGUGUCUUUAUUUCGCCACAGAGCCAAAGGAAAUUACCUUUGUGCAUCAAAUCUGGCCACUCAACCUGAGCGAGAAUGAUGAUGUCAUCACUGAUGUCACUACAGAGCAUCACUUCUGAAUCAGAGCUCUGUUGUGUCUCUAAUGCCUCAGUUAUGCUUAUGUGGGAAAUCUAUGCUGUAAACAUCCACAUAACCUGAUGUGCACCUCUUGAGAAAUUUAACACGUCAGGUUGACACAGCCCACAAUGACUUGAAUAGUGUGGAAGAUUGUGUUGUGGGGAUAGCGUGACUUUCCAGUGACUAAAGUUACAUGUCCAUAGAAAGUGUGAGCACAACAUACAGACACCUGGUGAUCAGUGGUAAACUAUAAGUACAUUGGCUUCAUUAUUCAUCUCUAAAGCUCACUGCUUGGUAAGGCGGUGACACAAGGGAUGGAAAAAAAACUUCAAACACAAAUGAUAAAAUCAACACUUUCCAUAAUAUGUUCAGUAUUUUUAUUUGUCUAAAAAGCUGCAAACACUCCCUUCAGGAUUGGUCAGUGAAGGCAUCAAACAGGUGUUGAUGUUGCCUUCACGUUCUGCUGUCAGUUGACAUCAUGACCUUCUCCAUCACCUGCUGGUUCCACUCCCUCAGCCUUCAGAACAGGAACAGACUGCAGCACACUGCAUCAGUGUACUCUAAAAUCAUUGGCCUGCCUGUCAGAACUCUGGCACAGGUUUUCAGCCAACAGGUCCUUAGACAGGCAGCCAAAAUCAUCAACGACCCCUCUCACAUUCUUCACCCCGCAUUUCAAUGGCUCCCCUCUGGGUCACGCCUCCCCUACAUUUCCUGCAGGACUGAGAGGAGGAGAGCCACCUUUGUCCCCAAAGCCACCCUGCUUUUUAAUUCCAGCCAAUAAGAACAUUUCCCACCCCCAUAAACAUAAACUACUCUACACUCUUCUUAUACUACUGACACUUUAUUCACUUUUA